AUCUACCUUCAGGACGGGGACAACAGCUGGAAACGGCUGCUAAUACCCGAUAUGCCGAAAGGUGAAACGUUGUUUCGCCUGGAGAGGAGCUCGCGUCCGAUUAGCUAGUUGGUGGGGUAAAAGCUUACCAAGGCGACGAUCGGUAGCUGGUCUGAGAGGAUGAGCAGCCACACUGGAACUGAGACACGGUCCAGACUCCUACGGGAGGCAGCAGUGGGGAAUUUUCCGCAAUGGGCGAAAGCCUGACGGAGCAACGCCGCGUGGGGGAAGAAGGUUUUUGGAUUGUAAACCCCUUUUCUCAAGGAAGAACAAAAUGACGGUACUUGAGGAAUCAGCCUCGGCUAACUCCGUGCCAGCAGCCGCGGUAAUACGGAGGAGGCAAGCGUUAUCCGGAAUUAUUGGGCGUAAAGCGUUCGUAGGCGGCUGUUCAAGUCUGCUGUCAAAGACCGAGGCUCAACCUCGGGUCGGCAGUGGAAACUGGAUAGCUAGAGGUCGGUAGGGGCAGAGGGAAUUCCCAGUGUAGCGGUGAAAUGCGUAGAUAUUGGGAAGAACACCGGUGGCGAAAGCGCUCUGCUGGGCCGAACCUGACGCUGAGGGACGAAAGCUAGGGGAGCGAAUGG
rnacentral:rRNA from 1 species